rnacentral:rRNA from 1 species
GUGCAGCAGGCGCGAAAACUUCACACUGUGCGAAAGCACGAUGAGGGAAUCCCAAGUGCUUGCACGUAAGUGUAAGCUGUUUCUCUGUCUAAAACGCAGAGAGAGUAAGGGCUGGGUAAGACGGGUGCCAGCCGCCGCGGUAAUACCUGCAGCUCAAGUGGUGACCGUUAUUAUUGGGGCCUAAAACGUCCGUAGCCGGUUUAAUAAAUGCCUGGGUAAAUUGUGUAGCUUAACUAUACGAAUUCCGGGUAGACUGUUAAACUUGAGACCGGGAGAAGUUAGAGGUACUCCUGGGGUAGAGGUGAAAUUCUGUAAUCCUAGGGGGACCACCAGUGGCGAAGGCGUCUAACUAGAACGGGUCUGACGGUGAGGGACGAAGCCCUGGGGCGCAAAC